rfam:Myotis brandtii contig201035, whole genome shotgun sequence.
AGCGGUUCUCGGGUGAUGCACCCUGGAAUUGGGCUCCCUCCUCUCUGGUUCUGGGUGCAUCAUCCGAGAACCACA